AUGUCCAACCGGCUCGCCCCACACAUGAACGACCUUGUAUCUCAAGCGCAAAGUGCAUUCGUCAGACGACGAUGUAUACAUGAUAACUUCAUGUACGUGCGCAAUCUUGCGAGGCGUUUCCACCGAAAUAAAACACCAGCAUUACUUUUCAAGCUCAACAUCAAGAAAGCCUUUGACUCUGUUCGCUGGGACUAUCUCCUCGGCCUUCUCAAACACCUUGGAGUACCUUCGCGCUUUCGGGGUUGGGUUUCGACGCUCUUGGCUUUGGCAUCCUCGCGAGUCUUGCUUAAUGGUAUUCCAGGCAACCCUAUCAAGCUUGGGAAGGGCUUGAGGCAAGGAGAUCCUCUAUCCCCCCUUCUCUUCGUUCUGGCGAUCGAUCCCCUACAACAUAUUCUCAAGAAGGCUACUUCCCAAGGAAAACUACAACCUCUUGGUGGUAACUUUAUGACAAUCAGGGCGUCUGUAGGAUCAAAAGUAUGUCUAGAGGAGGGGGGGGGUGAUUAG
rnacentral:rRNA from 1 species